rnacentral:tRNA from 1 species
AUUGCGGUGGCAUAGCUCGGUUAUUGCAAGAGGCCUAAAACCUUUAACCAGAAGUUCAAAUCUUCUCCACAACA